CCUACGGGUUGCACCAGUGGGGAGUAUUGGACAAUGGGCGAAAGCCUGAUCCAGCAAUGCCGCGUGUGUGAAGAAGGUCUUGGGAUUGUAAAGCACUUUCGACGGGGACGAUGAUGACGGUACCCGUAGAAGAAGCCCCGGCUAACUUCGUGCCAGCAGCCGCGGUAAUACGAAGGGGGCUAGCGUGGCUCGGAAUGACCGGGCGUAAAGGGCGCGUAGGCGGUUUAUGCAGUCAGAUGUGAAAUCUCCGGGCUUAACCUGGGAACUGCAUUUGAGACGCAUAGACUAGAGGUCGAGAGAGGGUUGUGGAAUUCCCAGUGUAGAGGUGACAUUCGUAGAUAUAGGGAAGAACACCGGUGGCGAAGGCGGCAACCUGGCUCGAUACUGACGCUGAGGCGCGUAAGCGUGGGGAGCAAACAGGAUUAGAUACCCUCGUAGUC
rnacentral:rRNA from 1 species